ACUCUGGUAUUGAUUGGUGCUUGCAUCAUGAUUUACAUUUGAGUGAGUGGCGAACUGGUGAGUAACACGUGGGAAACCUGCCCAGAAGCGGGGGAUAACACCUGGAAACAGAUGCUAAUACCGCAUAACAACUUGGACCGCAUGGUCCGAGUUUGAAAGAUGGCUUCGGCUAUCACUUUUGGAUGGUCCCGCGGCGUAUUAGCUAGAUGGUGGGGUAACGGCUCACCAUGGCAAUGAUACGUAGCCGACCUGAGAGGGUAAUCGGCCACAUUGGGACUGAGACACGGCCCAAACUCCUACGGGAGGCAGCAGUAGGGAAUCUUCCACAAUGGACGAAAGUCUGAUGGAGCAACGCCGCGUGAGUGAAGAAGGGUUUCGGCUCGUAAAACUCUGUUGUUAAAGAAGAACAUAUCUGAGAGUAACUGUUCAGGUAUUGACGGUAUUUAACCAGAAAGCCACGGCUAACUACGUGCCAGCAGCCGCGGUAAUACGUAGGUGGCAAGCGUUGUCCGGAUUUAUUGGGCGUAAAGCGAGCGCAGGCGGUUUUUUAAGUCUGAUGUGAAAGCCUUCGGCUCAACCGAAGAAGUGCAUCGGAAACUGGGAAACUUGAGUGCAGAAGAGGACAGUGGAACUCCAUGUGUAGCGGUGAAAUGCGUAGAUAUAUGGAAGAACACCAGUGGCGAAGGCGGCUGUCUGGUCUGUAACUGACGCUGAGGCUCGAAAGUAUGGGUAGCAAACAGGAUUAGAUACCCUGGUAGUCCAUACCGUAAACGAUGAAUGCUAAGUGUUGGAGGGUUUCCGCCCUUCAGUGCUGCAGCUAACGCAUUAAGCAUUCCGCCUGGGGAGUACGGCCGCAAGGCUGAAACUCAAAGGAAUUGACGGGGGCCCGCACAAGCGGUGGAGCAUGUGGUUUAAUUCGAAGCUACGCGAAGAACCUUACCAGGUCUUGACAUACUAUGCAAAUCUAAGAGAUUAGACGUUCCCUUCGGGGACAUGGAUACAGGUGGUGCAUGGUUGUCGUCAGCUCGUGUCGUGAGAUGUUGGGUUAAGUCCCGCAACGAGCGCAACCCUUAUUAUCAGUUGCCAGCAUUAAGUUGGGCACUCUGGUGAGACUGCCGGUGACAAACCGGAGGAAGGUGGGGAUGACGUCAAAUCAUCAUGCCCCUUAUGACCUGGGCUACACACGUGCUACAAUGGAUGGUACAACGAGUUGCGAACUCGCGAGAGUAAGCUAAUCUCUUAAAGCCAUUCUCAGUUCGGAUUGUAGGCUGCAACUCGCCUACAUGAAGUCGGAAUCGCUAGUAAUCGCGGAUCAGCAUGCCGCGGUGAAUACGUUCCCGGGCCUUGUACACACCGCCCGUCACACCAUGAGAGUUUGUAACACCCAAAG
rnacentral:rRNA from 2 species